rnacentral:rRNA from 1 species
UACGUAGGGUGCGAGCGUUAAUCGGAAUUACUGGGCGUAAAGCGUGCGCAGGCGGUUUUGUAAGCCAGGUGUGAAAUCCCCGGGCUCAACCUGGGAAUGGCAUUUGGGACUGCAAGGCUGGAGUGCGGCAGAGGAGACUGGAAUUCCUGGUGUAGCAGUGAAAUGCGUAGAUAUCAGGAGGAACACCGAUGGCGAAGGCAGGUCUCUGGACGACACCUGACACUGAGGCACGAAAGCCAGGGGAGCAAACAGG